rnacentral:rRNA from 1 species
AGAUUGCAGGCUGCAACUCGCCUGCAUGAAGUUGGAAUCGCUAGUAAUCGCGGAUCAGCAUGCCGCGGUGAAUACGUUCCCGGGCCUUGUACACACCGCCCGUCACACCAUGAGAGUUUGUAACACCCAAAGCCGGUGGGGUAACCUUUUGGAGCCAGCCGUCUAAGGUGGGACAGAUGAUUAGGGUGAAGUCGUAACAAGGUAGC